rnacentral:lncRNA from 1 species
UAAUAAAUGUCAGUAAGUCUAUUUACCUGGAGGUCCAGAUUACCGAAGUUAGACUAAGUCCCUUUGAGGCAUGUUCCCUGUAAAGGAGUGAGUAGAUCUCAGACAGCUAAUUUAACUCCCUCCCAGAAGGAUUCAUUAAAAUGUCUCGGGGAAGUUGGACAGCUGGGAAUGAGGAUGAAAAGGAUUUUUCAUGCAGCUAAUAAAAAAGGACUGGAAUUUACAAAAGCCAAAUAAUUAUCCUGAAACAAAAAAGAUUUAGUCUCUAAAGAGGAGGGAGAUGGUAGAUUUUGAGAUAAAAAUAUGAAACGACCAUACAGAAGAGCAGGGAAAAUGUCACAAAGAAAAUAGUGUUGGGUUAACAAUUCUUUGUACUGAAUCCUCACUGUUAACAAACUGGUGAGGUUUCUGUCCUCUGAGUAGACACUGAUGGAUGAACCCCUUCUGCCGCCCUGAAGAGCUGUUUGAAUCUUCUCUGUGGAAAUCUUGCUAACCAUAUGUGCAGCCUGCAGCCAGCAAUUCCACCCCCAAGGAAGAUACACCAGAGAAACUCAUGCCUAUGUGCCUCCGGAGAUAUAUACAGGGAUGUUCAUUAUGGCCCAAAGAAGGAGCUACACACUAGUGCAUCAACAAGAGUGGAGUGACAGGAGACUGGUCACAAAGAUCCUUAAGUCUUUGUCUUGAUGAAGAGCACAUCUCAGAUUAAGCCAUGGUAUCUUAGACAGAGGGCAAAACAACGGAGAGCAAAAGAACUGGGCACUGAACUGAAUCCUACUAGAGUCAACUAGGAAGAGUGCCUCAGUCCAGCCCAGAAGGAACUGAAGACUGCCAAAAACCAUGUAAAUAAGCUUGGAAGCUGACCCUUCCUCAGCUGAUCCUUCAGAUGAGACCCUGGCCUGGAAUGAAACCUUGAUUCCAGCUUUGUAAGACAUUCUGAAGCAGAGGGCUCAGUCAAGCCAAGUCUAGAUUCCUG